rnacentral:rRNA from 1 species
UCGAGGAUCUUCGGCAAUGAGCGAAAGCUUGACCGAGCGACGCCGCGUGCGGGAUGAAGGCCUUCGGGUUGUAAACCGCUUUCGUAGGGGAGGAAAUUUCGGUGGGAUCACUCAUCGAUUUGACCUAGCCUAGGAAGAAGGACGGGCUAAGUUCGUGCCAGCAGCCGCGGUAAUACGAACCGUCCAAACGUUAUUCGGAAUUACUGGGCUUAAAGGGUGCGUAGGCGGCCCGGGAAGUUGGGUGUGAAAGCCCUCGGCUCAACCGAGGAACUGCGCCCAAAACUGCCAGGCUCGAGGGAGAUAGAGGUGAGCGGAACUUAGGGUGGAGCGGUGAAAUGCGUUGAUAUCCUAAGGAACACCGGUGGCGAAAGCGGCUCACUGGGUCUCUUCUGACGCUGAGGCACGAAAGCUAGGGUAGCGAACGG